GAUGAACGCUAGCGGGAGGCUUAACACAUGCAAGUCGAGGGGCAUCACGGGGUAGCAAUACUCUGGUGGCGACCGGCGCACGGGUGAGUAACACGUAUGCAACCUGCCUCGUACAGGGGGAUAACCCGGAGAAAUUCGGACUAAUAUCCCAUAAUGAUAUUGAAAGGCAUCUUUUGAUAUUUAAAGCUCAGGCGGUACGGGAUGGGCAUGCGGAACAUUAGCUAGUUGGCAGGGUAACGGCCUACCAAGGCUGCGAUGUUUAGGGGACCUGAGAGGGUUAUCCCCCACACUGGUACUGAGACACGGACCAGACUCCUACGGGAGGCAGCAGUGAGGAAUAUUGGUCAAUGGGCGCAAGCCUGAACCAGCCAUCCCGCGUGAAGGAAGAAGGCGCUAUGCGUCGUAAACUUCUUUUCCAGGGGGAGAAUUUUUCCGUCGUGACGGGAAUUGACGGUACUCUGAGAAUAAGCAUCGGCUAACUCCGUGCCAGCAGCCGCGGU
rnacentral:rRNA from 1 species